rnacentral:lncRNA from 12 species
GUCCCGAAGGAUCAGAAGACAAACUGAACACAUCUGCAAUUAUCUGGAUUUAGCCUCGAUGGUUUUAUGCAAAAACUCUGAAUGCAUUUAAGGUUUAUGUAUUGUGAAGACACUAUGUAAUGGUUACUCAUUUCAUUUCUUUGUUAAGAACCUUUGUCUAAUGUUAAAAUUUUGAAUGAAAAGUUUUAUGUUUAUACCUAUUUAGUUGGACCAUUAGUUCAAGAUAUAAACUAAGGAAGUGCUAUAGUUUUAAAGUAUGUUUCAUUCAGUGAUUUUUUUUUUAUAGAGUUGGUAUCUAAUGCUGUAUUUGUAAGGCCAUCAGUUAUCAAACCACAAGAAAGGAUCUGGACUCUGCCACCAGGAGCUACUGAGUUCAUUGGCUUGAGCUUGUAGUAAUUUUUUUUUUUUUUAAGUUUCCCCUUGGCAGGGAACACAAGUGUUUAUUCAACAUUCAUUCAGUGAAUGUCUUCUAUCAGAGGACUAUUUCAGGUUGGAAGUAGCUCUAACAGAGGACCCACAUGGGAAAGGGUCUGAGAGAAGAGCAGCAGAAUAGAAAGUAGUCAUGUCACAGGGCUUUGGAGCCACAUUCAGUUCUCCAUUCUGGGACAUCUUCAGUCAUUGGACUCUGAGGAAUUUGAAGAGCUCACCAAGGCGCUUCAUUUUGUUAAAUGCUCCCAGUGAGCCUUCCUGUGUUAUGUGGAAUUUCAUUAAUUUGGAACUCAAUGUCAUUGCAUUCAGACAAGGCCAGUCUAGAGGGCAGAAUUUUGGAGGAAUUCAUGGAAAGGAGGAUGCUGGAAUAUUCAAAGGAGGAACAGAGAGUUUCUAUGUAAGCACCACGAAAAUCAACCUUUUAAGCACAGAUUGA